CUAAGAAAAAAGAGCCUGCUCUGCCCUUCCUUGUAUAGUUCCUCUCUGUUAUGAGACCAGUUCAGACAGUAAUUGAUGUGGACCACCCAGUCCUUGUAGGAGUAGACCACCUCAGCAUUCACUCCCUGAAUAGUGACCAGACAUUGAGGCUGUUUGUUGCGGACAAAGUCAAUAACCAGGUCCUUGGUUUUGCUGAUGUUAAGUUGUAGACAAUUCUUUUUUCCAAAGUUCUUCAAUUGACUCUUAUACUCCAUCUUAAUACACCCCAUAAGUGCAGAGUCAUCUGAGAAUGUCUACAAGUGACAUGACCUGCUGUUAUAGUCUGAGGUUUGCAGAUAUUGUUCACACCCAUAUUGGAAACACAGUCCUUGAACCUCACAAACUGUGAUCUGCAGGACAGAUAAGCUAUUAUCCAGGACAUCCCUAAUUAAAAUAAUGGAUGUUCAACAUAUAGCACAUUCUUUUUGCAUUAACAUUUAUAAAUACAUUGUAAAACAUGUUAUUUGAAAUGUUUCUUUGAGGCUGAACUAUUCAACUAUUAAAUUGUUAAGUUUUUAGAAAAAAAACUUCUCUUUGCUAAUAUUUCAUAUUAUUAUUGUGACAAAAUACACAAAGUUUUGGACACUGUAUAGAAAACAUUUAUACAUGUCUAUAUAGUGCUAUUGUUUAAUCUUUAUGAUGCUUUGAGAACAUAUUGAGAUAUAUUUCAUAUCAUCUUUGGAGUCAAAAUAAUCACUAUAUCAUUGUAAGUCCAUAUUGCUCAGCCCUCAAUGUACCUGUUUACCACAAUGGAAGAUUCUGACAUAUUA